AUGUUGCAAAAUAGGAAAAACGGUUAGCGCUCCCGUUGACAAGAACGGAAGAGACCAAUUGAUCUUUCUAACACAUAUGAGUAUUGUUCUCUACUUUAGAGCAACAUAGCUGUGA